UACGUAGGCAGCGAGCGUUGUUCGGAGUUACUGGGCGUAAAGGGUGUGUAGGCGGUUGUUUAAGUUUGGUGUGCAAUCUCCCGGCUCAACCGGGAGGGUGCGCCGAAUACUGAAUGACUUGGAGUGCGGGAGAGGAGAGUGGAAUUCCUGGUGUAGAGGUGAAAUUCGUAGAUAUUGGGAAGAACACCGGUGGCGAAGGCGGCGACCUGGUCCGAAACUGACGCUGAGGCGCGAAAGCGUGGGGAGCAAACAGG
rnacentral:rRNA from 1 species